rnacentral:snRNA from 1 species
UUGCUUUGACAGCACAUAUACUAAAAUUGGAAAGAUACAGACAAGAUUAGUAUGGCCCUGGCACAAAGAUGACAUGCAAAUUCAUGAAGCAUUCCAUAUUUUU